UACGUAGGGCGCAAGCGUUGUCCGGAAUUAUUGGGCGUAAAGAGCUCGUAGGCGGCUUGUCACGUCGGGUGUGAAAGACCGGGGCUUAACCCCGGUUCUGCAUUCGAUACGGGCUGGCUAGAGUGUGGUAGGGGAGAUCAGAAUUCCUGGUGUAGCGGUGAAAUGCGCAGAUAUCAGGAGGAACACCGGUGGCGAAGGCGGAUCUCUGGGCCAUUACUGACGCUGAGGAGCGAAAGCGUGGGGAGCGAACAGG
rnacentral:rRNA from 1 species